rnacentral:rRNA from 1 species
UACAGAGGAGCCAAGCGUUGUCCGGAUUGACUGGGCGUAAAGCGCACGCAGGCGGAUACGCGCGUGGGGUGUGAAAUCUGGCCGCUUAACGGCCAGGCGCCAUCCCAUACGGCGUGUCUGGAGCUGUGCAGAGGUCGGUGGAAUUGCCGGUGUAGUGGUGAAAUGCGUAGAGAUCGGGAAGAACAUCGGUGGCGAAAGCGCUCUACUGGACCGCAACUGACACUCAGGGACGAAAGCUAGGGGAGCGAAUGGG